AUGCUUUUGCAGCAUGCUCCAGCCUGCUGUUCCUCAGACUUCUCCAUCACCACCAAUCCAAACUCCAAACAAGAUCCCAAUGAGAAGCAGAGACCAGGAAGACACCCAUUAAACCACACAGAGCCCUCUCACCAGGCAGACCGGCCGGUUCCAGCGCGACACCCCUCAGCGGGUUCAGUAAGGAAGCGGCGGCGCGGUGCUUUACAUACAGGCGCACCUGCGGGGCUGGGAGAGGCGAGAGAGCGGCGGAGAAGCAGCGAGAUGGGGCAACGGCGACAGGGAGUGGGGGCGGGGGGCCGAGACUCGGGGUGCGGGGAGCCGCGCAGCCUGUUGCCCGGCCGGGUGUGAGCCGGAGCGCCGAGAGACCAGCAGCCAUCAGAGUGUCCUUGAGCACCAGCGACUGCAGACCGCCUUGUGUCCUUCCUUAAUCGGUCCUUCGCCCCUCCUCCUCCCCCGUCUCCCGGCCAGCUGACAGGCGCACACGUACAGGUGUCACCGGGGCUCGGCAGACUCGGAAUUCAACACACCGGCACGCCAGAAACAGGCUGAGCAACUGAGCGUCUCCGUCCCAAACCCCGGAACACGACACGACAGCCGUGAUAAUCGUCUGCACUGCGCCGAUGUAUAUAUAAAAAAAGAUUAAUAAAUAAAAACGCUUUUCUGCACCCCAAAGGACGGCCCGCUGCGCUAUCCCCUCUCUCGCUUGUUUGUUUCUGAGGAGACCGAUACCCAGUAUCGAUUAACGUGAAACCGGUUAUACCGAUGAGGAUACGCC
rnacentral:lncRNA from 1 species